GCGUCAACUUUCUUUUUAAUGCGCGGUAUUUGACAGAUUAAAAGGGUAUGCAGUAGUCGUGUAUGCGUUAGUGACAGGUGAUGUCGCUGGAAAUGUUGUAAUCAAUUUCUGUUCUUCUGCUGCGGUCUGCUUAAGUAAAAGGCACUCGUUAUAUCCUCCCUGAGGUAUCCUCUAGUCGCAUAAUCGAUCACAGCAUUGCUUGAAGCUCACAAGGUGGGGGAGAGAGGACCAGUGUGUGGCAUAAUGAGAAAACUUUCAUGUCUCAUUUAGAGAGGGCUGACAGCUAUGUCGGCCAAACGGGUUGACUUCCACAAGACAAUGGACGUGGUGUGUCCUUCACUGGCCUGUCCUGAAUAUGCUGAUCUGCCCGGAAUGUCCUGAUCCGUUCUGUUAUAUUUGGAUUCCAAUUUCUCAUGCGCAUCUGCCCAUGACUCUUGAAUGAUUUUAAUGGCCAAAAGGAGGAGCAUCUGCAGCUGCAGAAAUUGUUGGUGGAAACAAUUACCAAGUUGUAUGCAAAAGCGCCAAUGGAGGACGAAAUUUUCACGCCGCUCAAUGUCAGGCCAGGACAUGUGGCAGGCACCACCUGCGCCACACACUCAUACCCAAUGCUUGGCCGACAAAAAGGAUUGGCAAUUUUGUGCCAAUUUUCUCCGCCUUCUGUUUGUUUAUGAAACAAGUCACGUAAACGUUGUUGUUGUCCUCGUGGAGACCCGUUCCCAUGCCGCCUCUAUAUCUCUGCCGGGGGCGUUGAACCGGGGAACUCACACUCAGAUAUCGGGCUAAAUGGGCGUGCCAUCACCUUGUUGUGUGCCGGGUCCUUGGUCUUUGCAACCUGCUCCCUGCUCUUCCCGGCGAUUGUCAUUGGCAUCGAGAAUUUAGCAAUUGGCAAACGUCACGAAAGCAGCACCAAAAAAACAAAAACUUUCACGAUCUUUCGCACCCUUCCCUUUGGC
rnacentral:lncRNA from 1 species